AAAGCUUUAAGUUAAACAAUUAAACUAUUAACCUUCAAAGUUAAAUAUACAUUUUAUGUAAGCUUUA
rnacentral:tRNA from 1 species